CGCUUUGUUCCUGCCCUCUUCUCCUGAAGAGUGACUCUAGCUAUACAUUUGCUUUUUGAGGACUAGUUCAGCCACCUCGAGAAGGACACUGUAAGAGCAUCCUGAGGCGAUGUGGAAUAAUUGUUCACUGCCAGGAAAUGACAGCACUAGACAAUGUUUGUGUGGCAACCCAUGACAGGGGCUCCAUUGAGCCAAAAUGUCAUGCUGGUCUGCAAGAACAGGAAGCAGAGCUGUACGCUCUGGCAAUUUUCAUAAAUAGACAGCAAGGCUCCCGAAACUAGUGAAUUCGUGGACUGUAUCCAUGUGUGACAUGCAAGUGGUGCUUCUGUGUUUUCAGCCAUGUCCAUGCUCAGAGGAGACGAAAGGAGGCUGUUAGUGCCGUCUUUAUGACAAAAGACAACAGUCCAGGCUGACUCCUCCCAUGCCACAAAACUGCUAUAAACUCCCAAAUUGGCAAGUGUUGGCUUAUAGAUGGCACCAACCCCAGGAACGAUGAGGUCAGCUCCUGGGAUGGAAAAACAGCUUCUGGAUUCCACAUAUUGGCGAGAUCAUACGGUAUUUGUCUUCCUCUGCUGACCUACUUCGCUUAGCACAAUGCCUGUGAGGUCUAUCCAUAUGGUUGCAAAUGGCCAUCAAAAUCCACUUUACCUGAAAUAUUUUUUCUUGUUGUUUGGACCCGGGCUGGUGAGCUAAGUCUUCCUUCUUGCUGCCUCUUGGAGGAGAAGUCCUGUCUACAAUUAGGCUACUGUCAAGGUCCAGAGGGAAUGAAGGCCUGUACACAGUGGCAGCAAAAAGAAGAGAUGGGGCAGGAGACACUGAGGAAGCAGAAUGGAUAGAUGGUUCCCUGUCUACUCAUAGUGACCUGGGGUCCUCAUAGAGAAAUCUCAGUCUGGAAGAGCGAAGAUCACGGAGGAAGAAACAAGAAGACAUUUGGUGAAUCCUGGGUGUCUUAUUCCUGCCAGAAAACCUGAAGCUCACUGUGGAGUACCAAGCAGCAAGAACUCAUUCCCGUUGUGUCUUUAGCGACAACAUACUUCUUGCCAGAUUCCUUUUCUUCACCUUCCCCUUUAUAUAUCUGGGUUUCACAUGCAGCCUGUCCAUGUCUGUGUUAUGAAUUCAUAAUGAUAGUCUCUGGUUAUCUGCAUGAAUCUGGAAAAUGCUUGUGUGUUUGCAUCAUUGAUCUGUGUAAAUAGAAAAGCCCAGUGAAAAGGGCUGGAUGCUGUUAUGAUAUUCGUGGAUAGGUCUGAGCCUGUCAUUACUCUCCUUUGUGUGACUAUUGUGAUGUUGGAUAUCUACCUUGUUUGUGCAUCAGAAUUGUUGUUUGCUGUCCAGGACGCAAGAGGGUCUACGUUAUCAUUUUGACACUGUCCAGGACUCAUUUUAGGCUAAGAGUGGCUUCUUGGAAAUACCAUUCCCUUUUCUUUGAAAUUUCAACCCCCACGGGAUGUAAGAAAGAGAUAUGGGAUUCCUCCAUCAGAGAUUUCCAACCAUUCCAAUUCUACUGGCUUCUUUCUCAAAGCCUGGAUAUAUGUUUAUGUUUCACGUCUUAAACUUCAAAAUCCUCCUCCACGCUGUGCCCUCUGACACUCCCACUCUCGGUCCCCUCCCUCCUGGCCAGGUUCUUCAGAGGGUUCUCUGUGCUGCCCCGCCCCGCCCUCACCGUGGCUCCUCGGCACACCAUGAUGGGCGUCUUCCUCAUCUCUCUCCUGUUGGGAUGUCCCUGUGUAUCUCAAGGUCAAUCGUGUUUCCCCUCAACUUGCUUUAUCUUUCAUAUUUCCUAACUCAGUGACCGGUACUACCAUCUAGCUACCCGGGCCUCAGUCUGUAAAACUGAGAGUCAUUGCACAUCCCUGUGCUUUGUCAUUCUCCCAAAUCUAAUCAAUGGCCAAAUCCUUCACUUCAUUUGGGCCCCAAAAAUGCCUCUCUCCCAGCCCUUCCCCCACCACUGCUAAGGCCUCGUUUCAGCCAUCAUGGUCUCUGGCCUGAGUGAGCCCCCUGCCAGCAUCCUCAAACCCCUCCACCCACAUCCCACCCUGCUGCCAGAGUGAUCUCCCCGAAACCAAAUUUAAUGAUGUCACCUCCUGCCCAGAACUCUUCAAUGGCACCUCGUAGCUUCUAGGCAAAAGUUCAAACGCCCAAACUGGCCGUUGCCUGAUGCUGCAACUUAAUCUGCUCUAGUCUCCCCCACUGGACUCUAUGCUUCAACCAUGCUGGCUGCUUACAUUUCUCCGUAUUGACUUCAUUAUUCACACCUUCAUGUCUUUGUUCAAAUUGGUCUUUCAAGCUUCUCCUAUGCCCACCUUUCUUCAAUGUCCCGUGCCCUCCCUGGUGCGGUGGACCAUCCCUUUCUUUGCUCCCUACAGGACCCCGGGACAAUUCUAACACAGCACCAGCAACUCUCAUUGCCCCACCAUCUCCGUGUCUUCCUGUGACAGACUGUAGGCUCCUUAAGGACAGGGACUCCGUUUCAUUUAUUUUCAUAUUUCUAGCUUCUAGCACCAUGUCUGCUGGACAGUCGGUGCUCAGUAAGUAUUUGAGGAAGGAAUGUUUAUUAGUUUUCAUUAGCUUCAUUGGAAACAAUUUUUUGUAGCUUAAAAUUUGGAUUUGGGGGAGGGCAUAAUGUCCCGUUCGUUUUACUACAGCAGACUUUAUCCUUUGUUUCCCGUCACUGUUUCCCGUCUGUAAAGGCUCUGAUGUUCACAGUGCAAGUAGGAGCGAGGGGGCAAUCAGGAAGCCAGAGGAACACCUGGCUAAGGUGAACCAGGCCGAGGGAACAGGGCCAUGUGGCUCCAAUGAGACCAUUACAAUUUGCAGGAAACAAUGGUUCUCUUUAAGGCUACGGAGCCAGCUGAGAUUUGAUUUAUACUCAAAUCUAAUCACGAAUUAUAAAAGGUUUAUUAUGGGGGUAGAGUAAAAAGCAGCAGAGUAAUCUGUAGUCCUGGUGAUUGUUUGCAUAAAAUCUAUAGGCAAACAAGUGUUCUUACUUUCAAUAUAGUCCAAUUUAUCAGUUUUCCCUUUUUAGUUAAACGCUUUCGUGUCUUAUUUAAGAAGUCUUUUCCAACUUGAAAGUCUAAAAGAUUCACCUGUAUUUUCUAAUUAGAGUUUUUACGUUCUGGUUUUGAUGGUUAAGAUCUUAAUCCACUUGGCAUUGACUUCUACUUAGAGUCUGAGGUGGAGAUUCAACUUCCUCCUUUUUCACACGGAUAAUAAUUUUAUCCAGCUCCGCUUAUGGACUAGUCUCUCCUUUCCCCACUAGUCUUAACUGCCGCCUCUGACGUACGGCAAACUUUCCUACCAUCCCACUCUAUUCCCUUGGUCAUCUGUCUGUCCCCGCAGCAGUGCCGCACUGCUUUAAUUACUGUAGCUUCUCAGCAGUUUUAUCGUCUAGGGGGUAGAGAUCAGGAAGCUCCUUGCUGAUCUUUUAUAAGCAUCCUACCUCCUGUUCACAGUAACAAACACCCCAAAACAACCCAAAUGCCCAUCAGAAGGAGAGUAGAUGGAGAAGCUGUGUUUUACUCUCACCUGGAUGUGAGUCAGCAGUGACGACAAAUGAAAUACAGCUACGGGUGACACUAUGGCUGAGCCUUAGCAAUAUAUUAAGUGAAAAAAGUAAAUUUCAAAAGAUUGCAGACAUCAUGAGACCCUCUUCAUAUAGUUAAAAGUGACUGGAAUAAAAACAUACUUUUUAAGAAUACAUAGAGAUGAAAUAAAAUGAUAUAAAAAGAAAAGCAAGUGGAUGAGAACGCAGGGUUCAGGGCGACGGGUUCCCUUAGGCGGGGGAAGGCAGCUGAGUGUCUACUGGGGGUGAGUGUCUGGGAGCUUGUUACAGAUUUAAAAUAACUGAAUAAAUAAAAGAGAAACGUGGUUGAAGAAUGAGGAUGUGUUUAAUCCAAUUCUGAGGCUAAA
ensembl:lncRNA